ensembl:rRNA 5S_rRNA 5S ribosomal RNA
GCCAGCAGCCAUAUCACUCUGCAUCUCACAACUGGCAACAAACUGAAGCUAAGCAGGUGUGUGCCUGGUCAGUACCUGGAUGGGAGACCUCUUGGGAAAAACUAAGAUUGCUGUUGGAA